GACGAACGCUGGCGGCGUGCUUAACACAUGCAAGUCGAACGGAAAGGCCCUGCUCUUGCGGGGUGCUCGAGUGGCGAACGGGUGAGUAACACGUGAGUAACCCGCCCCUGACUUUGGGAUAACUUUAGGAAACUGGGGCUAAUAUCGGAUAGGAGCUCCUGCUGCACGGUGGGGGUUGGAAAGUUUCGGCUGUUGGGGAUGGACUCGCGGCUUACCCGCUUGUUGGUGAGGUAGUGGCUUACCAAGGGUUUGACGGGUAGGCGGCCUGAGAGGGUGACCGGCGACAUGGGUACUGCGAGACGGCCCAGACUGCUACGGGAGGCAGCAGUGGGGAAUAUUGCACAGUGGGGGGAAGCCUGAUGCGGAAGCGCCGCGUGCGGGAUGACGGCCUUCGAGUUGUGAACAGAUUUGGCAUGAGACGAGGCGGGAGUGACGGUAAUGGGUCAGGAAGCACCGGCUAACUACGUG
rnacentral:rRNA from 1 species